AGAGUUUGAUCAUGGCUCAGGAUGAACGCUAGCUACAGGCUUAACACAUGCAAGUCGAGGGGAAACGACAUCGAAAGCUUGCUUUUGAUGGGCGUCGACCGGCGCACGGGUGAGUAACGCGUAUCCAACCUGCCCACCACUUGGGGAUAACCUUGCGAAAGUAAGACUAAUACCCAAUGACGUCUCUAGAAGACAUCUGAAAGAGAUUAAAGAUUUAUCGGUGAUGGAUGGGGAUGCGUCUGAUUAGCUUGUUGGCGGGGUAACGGCCGACCAAGGCGACGAUCAGUAGGGGUUCUGAGAGGAAGGUCCCCCANACUUGGAACUGAGACACGGUCCAAACUCCUACGGGAGCGA
rnacentral:rRNA from 1 species